rnacentral:SRP_RNA from 1 species
GCUGGGCCUGUGGUAGGUCUGAGCUACUUGGGAAGCUGAAGUGGGAGGAUCACUUGGGCUCAAGAGUUCUGGGCUGUAGUGUGCUAUGCCAAUUAAGUUUGGCAUCAGUAUGGUGGCCUCCUAGAAAUGGGGGACUAGCAGAUAGCCUAAGUAGGGGUGAACUGGCCCAGGUUAGAAAAGGAGCAAGUCAAAGUCCCUUGCUGAUUAGUAGUAGGAUCAUACCUGUGAAUAGCCACUGCAUUCCAGCUAAGGAAACAUUAGGAAGACCUUGUCUCU